GAUGAACGCUGGCGGCGUGCUUAACACAUGCAAGUCGAGCGGAAAGGCCCUGCUCUUGUUGGGUUCUCGUUUGGCGAACGGGUGAGUAACACGUGUGUAUCCUGCCCUUGUCUUUGUGAUAUCUUCUGGAAACUGGGGCUAUUACCGGAGAUGAUAUCCUGCUGCAUGGUGUGCGUUGGAAAGUGUCGGCGGUUGUGGAUGUUCUCGCUGCUUAUGCGCUGGUUUGUCUGGUAGGGGCUUACCAAGGCUUUGACGGGUAGCCGGCCUGGGAGGUGGAACGGCCACAUGGGGACUAAGAGACGGAGCAGAAGCCUACGGGAGGCAGAAGUGGGGAAUAUUGCACAAUGGGCGGAAGCCUGAUGCGGCAACGCCGCGUGCGGGAUGACGGCCUUCGAGUUGUAAACCGCUUUCGCAUGUGACGAAGCGUGAGUGACGGUAAUGGGUAAAGAAGCACCGGCUAACUACGUG
rnacentral:rRNA from 1 species